UACAGAGGGGGCAAGCGUUGUUCGGAAUUACUGGGCGUAAAGCGUGCGCAGGCGGUUAUGCAAGACAGAUGUGAAAUCCCCGGGCUUAACCUGGGAACUGCAUUUGUGACUGCAUGGCUGGAGUGCGGCAGAGGGGGAUGGAAUUCCGCGUGUAGCAGUGAAAUGCGUAGAUAUGCGGAGGAACACCGAUGGCGAAGGCAAUCCCCUGGGCCUGCACUGACGCUCAUGCACGAAAGCGUGGGGAGCAAACAGG
rnacentral:rRNA from 1 species